UGCCUGUAAGACUGGGAUAACUCCGGGAAACCGGAGCUAAUACCGGAUAGUUCCUUGAACCGCAUGGUUCAAGGAUGAAAGACGGUUUCGGCUGUCACUUACAGAUGGACCCGCGGCGCAUUAGCUAGUUGGUGGGGUAAUGGCUCACCAAGGCGACGAUGCGUAGCCGACCUGAGAGGGUGAUCGGCCACACUGGGACUGAGACACGGCCCAGAGUCCUACGGGAGGCAGCAGUAGGGAAUCUUCCGCAAUGGACGAAAGUCUGACGGAGCAACGCCGCGUGAGUGAUGAAGGUUUUCGGAUCGUAAGGGAAGAACAAGUGCGAGAGUAACUGCUCGCACCUUGACGGUAACUAACCAGAAAGCCACGGCUAACUACGUGCCAGCAGCCGCGGUAAUACGUAGGUGGCAAGCGUUGUCCGGAAUUAUUGGGCGUAAAGGGCUCGCAGGCGGUUUCUUAAGUCUGAUGUGAAAGCCCCCGGCUCAACCGGGGAGGGUCAUUGGAAACUGGGAAACUUGAGUGCAGAAGAGGAGAGUGGAAUUCCACGUCUAGCGGUGAAAUGCGUAGAGAUGUGGAGGAACACCAGUGGCGAAGGCGACUCUCUGGUCUGUAACUGA
rnacentral:rRNA from 1 species